rnacentral:rRNA from 1 species
GACGAACGCUGGCGGCGUGCUUAACACAUGCAAGUCGAACGGAAAGGCCCUGCUUUUGCGGGGUGCUCGAGUGGCGAACGGGUGAGUAACACGUGAGUAACCUGCCCUUGACUUUGGGAUAACUUCAGGAAACUGGGGCUAAUACCGGAUAGGAGCUCCUGCUGCAUGGUGGGGGUUGGAAAGUUUCGGCGGUUGGGGAUGGACUCGCGGCUUAUCAGCUUGUUGGUGGGGUAGUGGCUUGCCAAGGCUUUGACGGGUAGCCGGCCUGAGAGGGUGACCGGCCACAUUGGGACUGAGAUACGGCCCAGACUCCUACGGGAGGCAGCAGUGGGGAAUAUUGCACAAUGGGCGGAAGCCUGAUGCAGCAACGCCGCGUGCGGGAUGACGGCCUUCGGGUUGUAAACCGCUUUCGCCUGUGACGAAGCGUGAGUGACGGUAAUGGGUAAAGAAGCACCGGCUAACUACGUG